rnacentral:rRNA from 1 species
CAUUGCGCAGCUACACAUGCAGUCGAGCGGUAGCACAGAGAGCUUGCUCUCGGGUGACGAGCGGCGGACGGGUGAGUAAUGUCUGGGAAACUGCCUGAUGGAGGGGGAUAACUACUGGAAACGGUAGCUAAUACCGCAUAACGUCGCAAGACCAAAGUGGGGGACCUUCGGGCCUCAUGCCAUCAGAUGUGCCCAGAUGGGAUUAGCUAGUAGGUGGGGUAACGGCUCACCUAGGCGACGAUCCCUAGCUGGUCUGAGAGGAUGACCAGCCACACUGGAACUGAGACACGGUCCAGACUCCUACGGGAGGCAGCAGUGGGGAAUAUUGCACAAUGGGCGCAAGCCUGAUGCAGCCAUGCCGCGUGUGUGAAGAAGGCCUUCGGGUUGUAAAGCACUUUCAGCGGGGAGGAAGGCGAUAAGGUUAAUAACCUUGGCGAUUGACGUUACCCGCAGAAGAAGCACCGGCUAACUCCGUGCCAGCAGCCGCGGUAAUACGGAGGGUGCAAGCGUUAAUCGGAAUUACUGGGCGUAAAGCGCACGCAGGCGGUCUGUCAAGUCGGAUGUGAAAUCCCCGGGCUCAACCUGGGAACUGCAUUCGAAACUGGCAGGCUAGAGUCUUGUAGAGGGGGGUAGAAUUCCAGGUGUAGCGGUGAAAUGCGUAGAGAUCUGGAGGAAUACCGGUGGCGAAGGCGGCCCCCUGGACAAAGACUGACGCUCAGGUGCGAAAGCGUGGGGAGCAAACAGGAUUAGAUACCCUGGUAGUCCACGCCGUAAACGAUGUCGAUUUGGAGGUUGUGCCCUUGAGGCGUGGCUUCCGGAGCUAACGCGUUAAAUCGACCGCCUGGGGAGUACGGCCGCAAGGUUAAAACUCAAAUGAAUUGACGGGGGCCCGCACAAGCGGUGGAGCAUGUGGUUUAAUUCGAUGCAACGCGAAGAACCUUACCUGGUCUUGACAUCCACAGAACUUUCCAGAGAUGGAUUGGUGCCUUCGGGAACUGUGAGACAGGUGCUGCAUGGCUGUCGUCAGCUCGUGUUGUGAAAUGUUGGGUUAAGUCCCGCAACGAGCGCAACCCUUAUCCUUUGUUGCCAGCGGUUAGGCCGGGAACUCAAAGGAGACUGCCAGUGAUAAACUGGAGGAAGGUGGGGAUGACGUCAAGUCAUCAUGGCCCUUACGACCAGGGCUACACACGUGCUACAAUGGCAUAUACAAAGAGAAGCGACCUCGCGAGAGCAAGCGGACCUCAUAAAGUAUGUCGUAGUCCGGAUUGGAGUCUGCAACUCGACUCCAUGAAGUCGGAAUCGCUAGUAAUCGUAGAUCAGAAUGCUACGGUGAAUACGUUCCCGGGCCUUGUACACACCGCCCGUCACACCAUGGGAGUGGGUUGCAAAAGAAGUAGGUAGCUUAACCUUCGGGAGGGCGCUACCACUUUGAUAGGG